rnacentral:rRNA from 1 species
GACGAACGCUGGCGGCGUGCUUAACACAUGCAAGUCGAACGGUAAGGCCCUUCGGGGUACACGAGUGGCGAACGGGUGAGUAACACGUGGGUGAUCUGCCCUGCACUUCGGGAUAAGCCUGGGAAACUGGGUCUAAUACCGGAUAGGACCAUUGCCUGCAUGGGUGGUGGUGGAAAGCUUUUGCGGUGUGGGAUGGGCCCGCGGCCUAUCAGCUUGUUGGUGGGGUGAUGGCCUACCAAGGCGACGACGGGUAGCCGGCCUGAGAGGGUGACCGGCCACACUGGGACUGAGAUACGGCCCAGACUCCUACGGGAGGCAGCAGUGGGGAAUAUUGCACAAUGGGCGCAAGCCUGAUGCAGCGACGCCGCGUGAGGGAUGACGGCCUUCGGGUUGUAAACCUCUUUCAGCAUCGACGAAGCGCAAGUGACGGUAGGUGCAGAAGAAGGACCGGCCAACUACGUGCCAGCCGCCGCAGUAA